GACUAAGUUGGUGGUUGGUGCCAAGAUUUGGGAAAUUUUCAAAGUCUUUGGUUUUUGAGAUUUAAUGGUUUGAGUUCACUCUUUGUAUCAUCAAAUGACUACCCCAAAAAUCUUGCUGCGAAAAAUUAUUCAUUUUGGUUGGUUUUCCAGGUAGCCAAAUAUUGUGCUGAGAGUUCGUUAAUUUGGUGUUUGGUGCCAAUAUUGGAUAAAUUUUCAAUUUCUUGCUUUUUGAGAUUAUAUGUUUGGAAAACACUCUUUAUAUCCCCAAAUGACUACUGUAAAAAUCCUUGUCCAAGAAAGGUUUCAUUUUGAAUGGUUUUCAAGCUAGCUAAUUUAGGUGGUGAGACUUGACUAAGUUUGUCCUUCGAACCAACAUUUGUGAAAUUUUCAGAAUUUUGUUUUUGAGAUUUGAUAGUUGGAAUCCACUUUUUAUAUCACCAAAUGGCUACUAUAAAAAUCCCGUGCAAGAAAUUUUUCAUUUUCGUGGGUUUUCAAGCGAGCGAAGUUAGGUGGUGAGACUUGGCUAAGUUUGUCCUUAGUGUGAAGAUUUGUGAAAUUUUCACAAUCUUGGUUUUUGGAGAUUUGAUUGUGGGAAUGAACUCGUUAUAUCACCAAUUGGCUACUAUAAAAAUCUCGUGGAAGAAUUUUUUCAUUUUGGUUUGGUUUCAAGCGAACUAAGUUAGGUGGAGAGACUUGGCUAAGUUUUUCCUUGGUGUAUAGAUUGGUGAAAUUGUCAGAGUUUGGGUUUUUGAGAUUAAAUUCUUGUAAUACACUCUUUAUAUCACCAAAGGGUUACUAUAAAAAUCUCGUGCAAGAAAUUUUUGAUUGUGGUUGGUUUUAAAUCUAGUCAUGUUCGGUGGUAAGUCUCGACUAAGUUGGCCGUUGGUGCCAAGAUUGGGGAAAUUUUCAAAGUCUUGGUUUUUGAUAUUUAAUGGUUGAAGCGCACUCUUUGUAUGACCAAAUGAAUACCGUAAAAAUCUUGGUGCAAGAAAUUAUUCAUUUUGGUUGGUUUUCAAGCUAGCCAAAUAUUGUGGUGAGACUUGGCUAAUUUGGUGUUUGGUGCCAAGAUUGGAUAAAUUUUCAAUUUCUUGCUUUUUGAGAUUAUAUGGUUGGAANNN
rnacentral:lncRNA from 1 species